UCUUAUGGAUGAGUAAAGAAAGUGGCUUCUUGAGAUGGAAUUUACUCCUGGUAAAGAUGCUGCGAA
rnacentral:pre_miRNA from 1 species